rnacentral:rRNA from 1 species
UUAAGCUACAAAGAGCGUAGGGUGAAUAGCUAGGCACCAAGAGCCGAAGAAGGACGUGAUAAGCUGCGAAAAGCUUUGGGUAGGAGCAAAUAUCCAUUAAUCCAGAGAUAUCCGAAUGAGGGAACUCACUUAGAGCAAACAAUCUAAGUAUCCAUAUAUGAGUAAAGUAGUAUAUGAGAAGGGAACGUGGGGAACUGAAACAUCUUAGUACCCACAGGAAAAGAAAGAGAAAUCGAUUCCUAGAGUAGUGGCGAGCGAAAUAGGAAGAGCCUAAACCAUGAGUAGUAAUACACAUGGGGUUCGGACCACGAUAUAUUAUCAAUAAUUCUAAUAGAAAUGUUUUGGAAAAGCAUACCAUAGACGGUGAAAGUCCAGUAUAUGAAAGAAAAGUUGAGAUUAGUGGUAUCCAGAGUAGUACGAGACACGAGAAAUCUCGUAUGAAUAAGCGGGGACCAUCCCGUAAGGCUAAAUACUACUUGGUGACCGAUAGUGAACUAGUACCGUGAGGGAAAGGUGAAAAGAACCCCGGGAGGGGAGUGAAAUAGAACAUGAAACCCUAUGUUUACAAGCAGACAAAGCACUUUAUAUGUGCGAUGUCGUACUUUUUGUAGAACGGUCCAGCGAGUUAUUGUGUAUGGCGAGGUUAAGUAUUACGUAAGGUACGGAGCCGAAGCGAAAGCGAGUCUGAAAAGGGCGAUAUAAGUCAUGCAUAAUAGACCCGAAACUGAGUGACCUAUCCAUGAGCAGGAUGAAGCUAGAGUAAAAUCUAGUGGAGGUCCGAACUGAUUGUCGUUAAAAAGGCACCGGAUGACUUGUGGAUAGCGGAGAAAUUCCAAUCGAACUCAGAGAUAGCUGGUUCUCCUCGAAAUAGCUUUAGGGCUAGCCUUGAGGGAAUGCAUAUGGGGGUAGAGCACUGAAUGAGGUAGGGGCCUAACCAGGUUACCAAACUCUAUCAAACUCCGAAUACCAUAUGUAAAUACUCAGGAGUCAGACUGCGGGAGCUAAGUUCCGUGGUCAAAAGGAAAACAGUCCAGAUCGUCAAUUAAGGUCCCAAAGAUAUAGCUAAGUGGAAAACGAUGUGAUUUUGCAUAAACAACCAGGAUGUUGGCUCAGAAGCAGCCAUUCAUUCAAAGAGUGCGUAAUAGCUCACUGGUCGAGUGAAGUUGCGCGGAAAAUUACCGGGGCUAAGCUAUACACCGAAAUUGCGGAUUUACAUUUGAAAGACAAUGUAAGUGGUAGAGGAGCAUUCUGUAGUAGGAAGAAGCAUGACCGUAAGGACAUGUGGACGAAGCAGAAGAGAGAAUGCUGGAAUAAGUAGCGAGAGGAUGGUGAGAAUCCAUCCCGUCGAAAAUCUAAGGUUUCCCAGGGAAGGUUCGUCCGCCUGGGGUAAGUCGGGACCUAAGGAGAGGCCGAAAGGCGUAUCUGAUGGAUAGCAGGUUGAAAUUCCUGCACUACGAAUAUACUUAAAAGAUUCAAGGGACGCAGAAGUGGAAGAUAACCAAGUAAGAGGAAAAGCUUGGCUCGCAAGAGGGAGUGAAAAUUAAAAGUAACGAAGUAUCAAGAAGCACGCUGACGAGAAAAGCUUGAAGAUAUUGUAUAUAAGUACCCGUACCGCAAACCGACACAGGUAGAUGAGGAGAGGAUCCUAAGACGAGCGGGAGAAGCAUUGUUAAGGAACUCGGCAAAUUAACCCCGUAACUUCGGAAUAAGGGGUACUGAUGUAACAGUCAGUCGCAGAGAAAAGGCCCAAGCAACUGUUUAACAAAAACAUAGGUUUCUGCUAAAUCGAAAGAUGAAGUAUAGGAGCUGACGCCUGCCCAGUGCUGGAAGGUUAAGGGAAGAGGUUAGAUUAUAUCAAAGCUUCGAACUGAAGCCCCAGUGAACGGCGGCCGUAACUAUAACGGUCCUAAGGUAGCGAAAUUCCUUGUCAGGUAAGUUCUGACCC